AAAUUUUAAUUAAUUUUCGCUGCCCGUUAUACAUAUAUAAUAAAAUUUUAUAAUUUAAUAAUUUAAAUAUUAUUAAAUUAAAAUUUAGGUAAAAAUAAAUUUAUAAUUUUAAAUUUUAGGUUAAUUUAAAUAAAUUACAUAAAGUAAAAUUUGGAAUUUAAAAAUUAUAUAAUACUAAACUUAAUUUAAUAUUAUUUUAUUAAUAAUUAUUUAAAAUAAUAUUUUAAUUAAUUUGUUGUUAUAUAUUAAAAUAAUUUAAUUCAUAUAAAAUUACACAUAAUAGUUAAUUAUUUGUUUUAGGAGAUUAAAAUUUAUUAUGAUGGUUUAAUAAAUUAAAAAAAAUUAAAUUAUUAUUAAUAAUUUUUAAAUUAUUUAAAUAUAUUAU
rnacentral:rRNA from 1 species